rnacentral:lncRNA from 1 species
UUCUCCCGUGGGGUAGUAUUCAUGAUGUAGAUUAAAGUAUGUGUAUGUAUGGUUAUCAGGUAUUGUGGAUCCAUGGCUUCCAAUAAACGCAAGCGUCUAUUGUUAAUUACCCCCACAAAGUGUUAGGGCACCUUCGAUUAAGAGACCUUUGUUAUGCUAAAAAUUAAAUAAAAGAUGAACGAAAUUCAGUGGAUUGAAUUUGAUUCUGAACCAGGGUGUAUAUAACCCUAAUGUAAAUUGGGAUUCGAUCGGGUUCAAAUUGGACUUAAAUAUAUGAUAAAGUCCAAUCAAGCUCUGUAUGUUUAGAGCUCAAUUGAGUUCGCCAUAAGACCAAACCCUAAUUAUAUAUAUUAGGAUUAGUCAUCAUUUGUCUUAAAUUAGACUCUAAGUGUAUAUAUUAGAGCCCAAUUUGGUUUCACAUGAGCCAAAUCCUAAUUAUAUAUAUUAGGAUUAGUCAAAAUGUAGUUGACAUUAAACUCUAAGUAUAGGUAUUAGAGUCUAAUUUGGUUUCAUAUGGGUUCACCCUAAGGUGGUUUAUAGGCCGAAUCCUAAUUAUAUGGGUUAGGAUUAGCCAAAGAUUAAACUCUAAGUGUAUGUAUUAGAGCUUAAUCAAGAGAUGAAAUUUAAACUCCAAGUGUAUGUAUUAGAGUUUAAAUUAGUGAACUUUGAGUGGAUAUAUCAGGGUUCAAUCGCAUAUGAUUUGAUCAAUUCUAAUCAGGUAUUUUAGAAUUUGAUCGAAUUUAAAUAAGUCAGGAUUCUAACUCUAGUUGUAUGUGCUAGAGAAGAGAUUUGAUUUGGAUUUGACAUAGGAUCAAGGGGAUUUUAAUUUGGGUUCAAAAGAGGCUCAUUUGGAUUUUGGACUCCUUUUGGGCUUUGAUGGGAAUUUGAGUUUCAUAUGAAAAUUGAGCUUAAAAUGAGCUCAAUUUGGAUUUGGUAUGGAAAUUUGGGUUUUAUAUGAGAAUUGGGCUCAAAGUGGGCUCAAUUUGGAUUUGAUAUGGAAAUUUAGAUUUUAUAUGGUAAUUGGGCUCAAAGUGGGCUCAAUUUGGAUUUGAUAUGGAUAAAUAGGUUCAAUUUGGGUUUGAUUUGGAUUUCAUUUGGACUGGGCAUGAGAAUUUGGAUUUUAUAUGGUAAUUGGGCUCAAAAUGGGCUCAAUUCAUAUGUGGAUUUUGGGCUCAAAAUGGGCUCAAUUCAUAUGUGGAUUUUGGGCUCAUUUUGGGCUUAAUUCAUAUGUGAAUUUUGGGCUCAAAAUGGGCUUAAUUCAUAUGUGGAUUUUGGGCUCAAAAUGGGCUUAAUUUGGAGUUGGACUUGAUUUGGGAUUAAUAUGGGCUCAUUUCGUUUUGGAUCUGAAUUCGGGCCCAAUAUGGGUUGAAUUCAUUUUGGUUUGGAUUCGGGCUCAAUAUGGACUGAAUUCAUUUUGGAUAUGGAUUCGGGCUUGGGCUGAAUUCAGAUUCGGGCUUGGGCUGAAUUCAGAUUCGGGCUUGGGCUGAAUUCAUUUUUGAUGUGAAUUUGGGCUUGGGCUGAAUUCAUUUUGGAUAUGGAUUCGGGCUCUGGGCCAAUUUGGAUUUGGGGCUAAUUUGGGAUUUGGAUUUGGAUUUAAUGUUGGAUUUGGGCUCUGGGCCAAUUUGGAUUUGGGCUCUGGGCCAAUUUGGAUUUGGAGCUGAUUUGGGAUUUGGAUUUUUAAUGUUGGAUUUGGGUUUGGAUUUGGAUUUAAUGUUGGAUUUGGGUUUGGAUUUGAUAUGGGUCUGCGUGGUUUGGAUGGAAUUGAGCUCCGAUUUGUACUUGAGUUUAAGUCGGGUCGCGUUGAGUUUGAAUUUGUGAAAUGAAUAUAAUUUGGUCUAUACGAGAGUGGAAAUCAAAAUAUUUCAGUAUCUCGUUCAAAAUCAAAUUCAUCCAAAAUAUGUUCCGAAUUUGUCAAAUUCUCAGUCAUGAAUUCUUCAACUUAAUUUAAUUUGGAGCAUCAAAUGUCCACUAUGAUUAAAUCUCGGUUUGGUCUAAUUUAGCUAAAUCGAGAGGUUCGAUCUUGGAUAGAAUUAAGGGGUUCGACCAUUUUUCGAACAUCCCGUUAUUCUUCCAAUAAAAGGACGAUCAAAAUAAUAUCUGACUAAUUUUCUUUGUCUCUUUUACAUUUAUGGGACAACUAAGGCGGGAUAAAUCCCUUCCUUGCCUCCCUAACAAAGCUCCCUCUCUCUUUCAUAAGUAGAGAAGUAAUAUCUCUCUCUUUUUCUCUUUUUUUUUUUGUAAAGAGGAGAGCACCGCUCUCUCUCUCAGGAUCGUCGUCGAGUAGUUGGUGGGCGGCUUCGUUUGAAAGGAGAGCACCGCUCUCUCUCUCAGAAUCGCUGUCGAAUACUUGGCGGGCGGACUCCGGGUACAUCGAGCACUUGGCAGGCGGAACCCGUUUGAGAGGAGAGCACCGCUCUCUCUCUCAGGUUCGCCGUCGAGCAGCUGGUGGGCGGACUUGGCUUCAUUUGAGAGGAGAGCACCGCUCUCUCUCUCAGGAUUGCCGUCGAGCAGCUGGUGGGCGGACUCCAUUUGAGAGGAGAGCAACGCUCUCUCUCUCAGGUUCGUCGUCGAGCAGCUGGCGGCUUUGUUGAUGACGGAGCUCCGCUGUGGCUGUGUCCUGACAGUAGAGCCGCGGAUCUGAGACCGCGACGGAGCCACGACAGCGGUGCGGUUCGGCCUCAGCGUGGAUGGGGGAGGCCUUGGACGAGCUCGACGGCGGUGCGACCCGGCUUCGGAACGAACAUGGCACCGUCAGGGUCGACGGUGGUACGGCUCAGCUUCGGAGCGGACAAAGGGGGGCCUUGGAGCGAGCUCGACGAUCGGUGCGGCUCGGCUUCGGAGCGGACGAGAGGGCCUUGGAGCGAGCUUAACAGUCGGUGCGGCUCGGCCUUCGCUCGACGGCGGUGCGGCUCGGCUUGCGCUCGACGACGGUGAGGCUUGGUGAGGCAUUUGGUCGAACAGGUGGCGGGUGGAGGGAACGAUGCAGUAAUUUUGCUUCAGAAUCUCCUUGUGAUCGGAGAAGGCGACGUCGCGAUCUCGGAGCGGACAGAGAAGGGGGAAGCAGCGAUACAUCACCAAGUCCGACGGGAACUUGGGUAGCCUCGGGGCGGAUCGGCCGCGGGUGGCGCGGCUUCGGGCGGAUCGGCCGCGGGUGGCGCGGCUUCGAGCCGAUCGGCCGCGGGUGGAGCGGCUUCGAGAGGACCGGCCGCGGGUGGCGCGGCUUCGGGCGGAUCGGCCGCGGGUGGCGCGGCUUCGAGUCGAGGACGGCAGCGGGCCUUCGAGCGGCUAAGGCCAGAGCGGCUUCGAGCGACUGAGAGCGACGAGCUCGGUGGAGCGAGGAGGCGGACGACCUCUGCGGCACGGACGUCGAGCGGGGAGGAGGACAGCCUCGGGUCGGGGAGCCUCGGCGAUUCCGAGGUCGGCGAGAAGCGACGUGACCUCGGCGCAGGGAUCGGCGAGGAGCGACGCUGCCUCGGGCGCAAAGACCGGCGAGGAGCGACGGCCUCGGGUCGAGGUGUCCCGGAGCGACGCGGGCGAGCUUCGUUGCGGGCGAUCGAGGCGUCUCGGAGUGGCACGGGUGGCCUCGGAGCGUGCCUCGGGUCGGGGUCGGAUCACAUCCGGGAGCGGCAGCGGCCGCCAUUGGAGAGGGAGAGAGAGAGAGAGAAAGAUA